AACACAGCAACACCAACCACCAUAACUUGAGCAAAAAUUGCCAGGACGUUAACCUUCCAGGGUAACUAGGAUUCCUUCUUUUUAUUGUUGGGAUGUUUGGAAGUGCCUCAGGAUCAGAUGCUUUGCGAGAGCAAGAAAGUAAAAGAGACAUGAGGGAAAUGCCAUCGCCAAGGGAAUGGUGGAUGCGAAAAAUGACAGUAGAUUCAGCUUCAGAGGUUU
rnacentral:misc_RNA from 1 species